rnacentral:rRNA from 1 species
CAGCAGCCGCGGUAAUACGUAGGGUGCGAGCGUUAAUCGGAAUUACUGGGCGUAAAGCGUGCGUAGGCGGUUUGUUAAGUCUGUUGUGAAAUCCCCGGGCUCAACCUGGGAAUGGCAAUGGAUACUGGCAAGCUAGAGUGUGUCAGAGGAUGGUGGAAUUCCCGGUGUAGCGGUGAAAUGCGUAGAGAUCGGGAGGGACAUCAGUGGCGAAGGCGGCCAUCUGGGACAACACUGACGCUGAGGCACGAAAGCGUGGGGAGCAAACAGGAUUAGAUACCCGAGUAGUCCCUGUCUCUUAUAC